rnacentral:rRNA from 1 species
AUUGAACGCUGGUGGCAUGCCUUACACAUGCAAGUCGAACGGUAACGGGUCCUUCGGGAUGCCGAUGAGAGGCGAACGGGUGAGUAAUAUAUCGGAACGUGCCCAGUAGUGGGGGAUAACUGCUCGAAAGAGCAGCUAAUACCGCAUACGAUCAGAGGGUGAAAGGGGGGGAUCGCAAGACCUCUCGCUAUUGGAGCGGCCGAUAUAAGAUUAGCUAGUUGGUGGGGUAAAGGCCUACCAAGGCAACGAGCUGUAGUUGGUUUGAGAGGACGACCAGCCGCACUAGGACUGAGACACGGCACAGACUCCUACGGGAGGCAGCAGUGGGGAAUUUUGGACAAUGGGCGAAAGCCUGAUCCAGCAAUGCCGCGUGCAGGAUGAAGGCCUUCGGGUUGUAAACUGCUUUUGUACGGAACGAAAAGCCCCGGGUUAAUACCCUGGGGUCAUGACGGUACCGUAAGAAUAAGCACCGGCUAACUACGUGCCAGCCGCCGCAGUAA